rnacentral:rRNA from 1 species
UGCAAGUCGAACGAAGAUGGCAGCCUCUGGUUGGCAUCUUAGUGGCGGACGGGUGAGUAACGCGUAAGAACUUGCCCCUGGGAGAGGGAUACCAACUGGAAACGGUUGUUAAUACCUCAUAGGCUGAGGAGUAAAAUGGUUAACACCGCCUAGGGAUAGGCUUGCGUCUGAUUAGCUAGUUGGUGGGGCAAAGGCCUACCAAGGCAAUGAUCAGUAGCUGGUCUGAGAGGACAAUCAGCCACACUGGGACUGAGACACGGCCCAGACUCCUACGGGAGGCAGCAGUGAGGAAUUUUCCGCAAUGGGCGAAAGCCUGACGGAGCAAUGCCGCGUGGAGGAUGAAGGCCCGUGGGUUGUAAACUCCUUUUCUUAGAGAAGAAGCCCUGACGGUAUCUAAGGAAUAAGCAUCGGCUAACUCCGUGCCAGCAGCCGCGGUAAUACGGGGGAUGCAAGCGUUAUCCGGAAUCAUUGGGCGUAAAGGGUCCUGAGGUGGUUUGCUAAGUCUACUGUGAAAGAUCAGGGCUCAACCCUGAAGAUGCGGUGGAAACUGGCAGGCUAGAAUACGGUAGGGGCAGGGGGAAUUCCCGGUGUAGCGGUGAAAUGCAUAGAUAUCGGGAAGAACACCAAAGGCGAAGGCACCCUGCUGGGCCGAUAUUGACACUGACAGACGAAAGCUAGGGGAGCGAAUGGGAUUAGAUACCCCAGUGGUCCUAGCCGUAAACGAUGGAUACUAAGUGCUGAACGACCAAAAACGUGCAGCGCUGCAGCUAACGCGCUAAGUAUCCCGCCUGGGGAGUAUGCCCGCAAGGAUGAAACUCAAAGGAAUUGACGGGGGCCCGCACAAGCGGUGGAGCAUGUGGUUUAAUUCGAUGCAACGCGAAGAACCUUACCAGGGCUUGACAUGCCGUCUACCCCCUUGAAAGAGGGGGGCAACCCCGUCCCUCAUUGAGGAGACGGUGGAAACGGACAC